AGAAUAAUAGAAUUGUAUAGAAGAAUAGAAUAGAAUAGAAUAGAAUAGAAUAGAAUAGAAUAGAAUAGAAUAGAAUAGAAUAGAACAGAACAGAAUAGAACAGAAUAGGAGUAGAAUAGAGAAUAGAGAAUAGAAUAAGUAUGUGAAAAGAAGGACUCAUCUCUACAGUCAGUCUCAGAAAGACAGAACCCCAUGGCUUAUACUUUUAUGUCAAAUAUAGAGCCUUUCUUCUGCUAGUUGAAACUAAAGGUCAGUAUGCAAAGCUAGUUCCUAGUUGUAAAAUUCAUUAGUGUAUAAAAAAAU
rnacentral:lncRNA from 1 species